rnacentral:lncRNA from 1 species
GGGGGUCACCGGCCAUCCAAGAGAUUUUUUGACCUCUGAAAAUGAGUGCAAAUAGGCUAAAUAUAGGGAAAACAGGCAUAAAAUAUCUUUAAUUGAAUUUUCAGAGCAAAAUAAAUGACAGACGUUGCUCAUUUUUUCAUACUGUAAAGCUUGAUGUCUCUAUUUUUAUUAAAUUGAAAUACAUUUUGCGGGUCACCAGCCAUCUAAGAGAUUUUUUUUAGCAAAAUAACAGUUGUUGUUUAUUGUUCAAAGAGGGUUGACCUCUGCAGUUGUGUAAUGCUGCGCCCUGCGGAGCAUCUGGUUAUUAUUGUGCUUAAACCAUAUUUGUUACAAAAUGAAUGAAAAGUGUAAGCUAACAGUCUGCUAAGUUUUUAUCCAUAAGUCUCAUUCUGACUUUCUAUCUGAAAGGUUUUUAUGUGUCAAUAUUUGUGUUUCAAUAUAAAAGGAAG